rnacentral:rRNA from 1 species
UAUGGUAAGUGCCAGCCGCCGCGGUAAUACGUAGGGCGCAAGCGUUAUCCGGAAUUAUUGGGCGUAAAGAGCUUGUAGGCGGUUCGUCGCGUCUGGUGUGAAAGCCCAUCGCUUAACGGUGGGUUUGCGCCGGGUACGGGCGGGCUAGAGUGCAGUAGGGGAGACUGGAAUUCUCGGUGUAACGGUGGAAUGUGUAGAUAUCGGGAAGAACACCAAUGGCGAAGGCAGGUCUCUGGGCUGUUACUGACGCUGAGAAGCGAAAGCGUGGGGAGCGAACAGG